ensembl:lincRNA
CGCCCGGGUCAGCCCCUCGCCCGGCCUGAGGCGCCGCCGCUCCGCGUAAAUGGCGGGGUUCCCGCGCCCGGGCGGAGGUCCGCAUGACUCCGGGUCUUGGGGGUGGUGGUCAGAGUUGGCGGUGCGGAUUUUGGUUGGUGUUUCUAGCCCUGUACUUCUACCUCCCCAGACCCCAGCAUAAGACAUUCUCAUAUUUGGCCAUUUUUUUCCUUGUGGUCGGGGUGACCCUUAUAAAGCACUGCCUUUAUCAAUCAUGUGAUGGAAUAGCGACACUGAGGCAGCUAGUUAGUUUUAUAUGGUUCCUAGUGGAACAACAUCCACUUUCCAUGCCUGGCUGGCCUAGGCUCCCAGACAGUGGGUGAAACCUCUGGCCAGGAUAAGGUGUAUGAACUAAAAUGCUCACCCCCCCCCCCCACGGGCUGACUGAACCCCCUCCUGGCUAAAUGAAUAUCCUACAGCAAAAUUUCCUGGCAGGAGGAGGGAGGUCAGACAUGCCCCCCUCCCUUCUUGGAGACUUCCUUUGUAACCCAUUAAUAGGCCUAAGCGUUUGCAAGACAAACCUGCAGGUCCUCAAUUUAUGGAACAAAUGAUGGCAACAAAUGGUGGCUUAUCUCUGGUAAACAGUUUCUGUUAAAACAUUCCAAGCCUUUAGACAAAGCUUCAUGUCUUUAGCCAAUUACAAUCUGAAGAAUCUUUAAACUCACCUAUAACCUGUAAGCCCCCUCCCCCCCUUCCAGAUGCCCACCUUUUGGGGCCAAACCAAUGUAUGCCUGCCACGUAUUGGCUUUACCCCUAACCCCUGUCUCUAAAACGUAUAAAAACCAAACUAUAACCCACCCACUGAGGAGUUCACUUGCCCAGGGCCUCUUGGCAGUAGCUCCAGGUCAUGGUCCUCAAAUUUGGCUCAGAAUAAAUCUCUUUAAAAUUAUUUUGCAGAGUUUGGCUUUUUUUCCAUUGACAGGUGAGAGGCUAUACCAGGAAGAAUGACUUUGAAAAUUAAAGCAUUAGUUGAAAGGAGGAGUGUUCCGUCUCUUCUCCACAGAGCUCUGCAAGAACAGCCUAGAACCAGCAUGGAAAGACCUUCUGCUGCCAUGAACACCUGUGCAUUUCUGAUGGCAUUUGCCUGCUCCAAUAGGACUCUGCUGAUUGACAGCCUAGUGGAGCUCACAAGAGGCCUGCAGAGGCAGGAGCAGCAUCUUUUUCUCUUCAAUGAUCUGCUUGUUGUGGCCAAAAGCAAGUACAACAAUAAGUUUAAGUUGAAAAACAAGAUUAAAUUAUCUGACAUGUGGACAGCAAGCUGUGUCGAUGAACUGGGAGAUGGUAAGAGCAGUGCUAUGAAAUCCUUUGUCUUGGGCUGGCCCACUCAGAACUUUGUGGCCACUUUCAGUUCUCCAGAACAAAAGGACACAUGGCUGUCUCUCCUUCAGAGAUACAUUGAUCUCGAGAAACAGAAGGACUAUCUGAAGAGCAUUCCCCUCAAAAUAUUCACCGAAGAUAUGGGGAAUUGUGUCCAUGGUUGUGAGAGAGAUUACCAGUUAUGCAUCAAUUCUGGGAAAAAAGCAGUACUGUACCCACUAAUUGAUUCACAUUGGAAGACAUCUGAAAAGGACAACUUACUUGUGUUACUGCCAACAUCUCCUCCUGUGGCAGGAGAGCUCCUUGGACUUUCUUUGGAAAAUACCUCUGAGAACGACACACAUGAGGUUGUUGAUGCCCCAUGUGUCAAUACAGGAAAGACAGUUGCCCAGGGAAGCAGAAACAUGGCCUCUAUUUUAAAGUUCACUGAUGACAUCCUCAAGCUACAGAGGUGCAGGAUGUUUUAA